rnacentral:rRNA from 1 species
AAAAAUUUGGCGGUAUUUUAGUCUAUUCAGAGGAACCUGUUCUAUAAUCGAUAAUCCACGAUGGACCUUACUUAGAUUUGUUAUCAGUUUAUAUACCGUCGUUAUUAGAAUAUUUUAUAAGAAUGUUAAUUUUCAAGAUUUUUAAAAGUAAAAUAUAUCAGAUCAAGGUGUAGCUUAUAUUUAAGUAGUAAUGGGUUACAAUAAAUUUAUUUAAACGGAUAAAAUUAUGAAAAAAUUUUUAAAGGUGGAUUUGAUAGUAAAAUUAUAAAGAUUAAUUAAUUGAUUUUAGCUCUAAAAU